rnacentral:rRNA from 1 species
AUACGUAGGGGGCGAGCGUUGUCCGGAAUUACUGGGCGUAAAGAGCGUGUAGGCGGGUAUUUAAGUCAGGUGUGAAAGACCGGGGCUCAACUCCGGGGUUGCACUUGAAACUGGGUAUCUUGAGGGCAGGAGAGGAAAGCGGAAUUCCUGGUGUAGCGGUGAAAUGCGUAGAUAUCAGGAGGAACACCGGUGGCGAAGGCGGCUUUCUGGACUGACCCUGACGCUGAGACGCGAAAGCGUGGGGAGCGAACAGGAUUAGAUACCCUGGUAGUCCACGCUGUAAACGAUGGGCACUAGGUGUAGGAGGUAUCGACCCCUUCUGUGCCGCAGCUAACGCAAUAAGUGCCCCGCCUGGGGAGUACGGUCGCAAGGCUGAA